rnacentral:lncRNA from 1 species
GCUGGCUCUGCCCAUGUUGGGGGAGUGUCUCUUAAUUGCCGGCCAAGCAGUCUGAAAUAAACUUAGCAACUCAUCUUGUUUAAGGGGCGUGGAACGGGGGGAGUGCGAUGCGAGUGAGAGGAGCGACCGCGACUGCACACCUGCUGUAUACCAGGCCUCGUAUCUCAUUUAGCCUCAAAACAACCCUGUGUGUUAAGUAUUCUCACCCUAAUCUUGAAGAUCUGGGAACUGAUAAUUAGGGUAACUGAUCCUCCGAAACGACUGCUAAGCACAGGCUCGAGGCAGUAACUUCCAUGCACGUAUCUGUGGAAAAAUGCCACGUGUACAUGAAGCUGGCCAUCUACAACCCAGGAGAGAGGCCUGAAACAAUCUUUCCUCACAGUCAUCAGAACUGGAACCAACACUGCCCACACCUUGAACACAGGCUUCCAGCGUCCAGGACUGUGAGACAGCACACGUCUGCUGAUUUAGCCCCCUAGCUUAUGGCACUUUCUGACAGCAGCGCUAGCUAACCAAUACACUCCCUGCUAAAUGUACUUUUCCAUUUGUGCCCCACCAGGGUUUGCAGACAAGCAAAAUUGUCAUAGUUCCCUAACGCCUCAGAAUGUUUUCUUCCUGGAUCACUUUUUAUAAUUAUUACUUACAGUGAGGGAAAACUGAAAUAUUGCAAUGCCAUCCACAAUUAGGA